rnacentral:rRNA from 1 species
AUGCAGAGGGUGCGAGCGUUAAUCGGAUUUACUGGGCGUAAAGCGUGCGUAGGCGGCUUUUUAAGUCGGAUGUGAAAUCCCUGAGCUUAACUUAGGAAUUGCAUUCGAUACUGGGAAGCUAGAGUAUGGGAGAGGAUGGUAGAAUUCCAGGUGUAGCGGUGAAAUGCGUAGAGAUCUGGAGGAAUACCGAUGGCGAAGGCAGCCAUCUGGCCUAAUACUGACGCUGAGGUACGAAAGCAUGGGGAGCAAACAGGAUUAGAUACCCUGGUAGUCCAUGCCGUAAACGAUGUCUACUAGCCGUUGGGGCCUUUGAGGCUUUAGUGGCGCAGCUAACGCGAUAAGUAGACCGCCUGGGGAGUACGCACGCAAGUGUGAA